rnacentral:rRNA from 1 species
UGGGGAAUAUUGCACAAUGGGGGAAACCCUGAUGCAGCCAUGCCGCGUGUGUGAAGAAGGCCUUCGGGUUGUAAAGCACUUUCAGUAGGGAGGAAAGGGUGAGUCUUAAUACGGCUCAUCUGUGACGUUACCUACAGAAGAAGGACCGGCUAACUCCGUGCCAGCAGCCGCGGUAAUACGGAGGGUCCGAGCGUUAAUCGGAAUUACUGGGCGUAAAGCGUGCGCAGGCGGUUUGUUAAGCGAGAUGUGA